CACGUAGGGGGCGAGCGUUGUCCGGAUUUAUUGGGCGUAAAGAGCUCGUAGGCGGCUCGGUAAGUCAGGUGUGAAACCUCCAGGCUCAACCUGGAGACGCCACCUGAUACUGCCGUGGCUAGAGUCCGGUAGAGGAGCGUAGAAUUCCUGGUGUAGCGGUGAAAUGCGCAGAUAUCAGGAGGAACACCAGUGGCGAAGGCGCCACUCUGGGCCGUAACUGACGCUGAGGAGCGAAAGCGUGGGUAGCAAACAGG
rnacentral:rRNA from 1 species